rnacentral:rRNA from 1 species
GACGAACGCUGGCGGCGUGCUUAACACAUGCAAGUCGAGCGGUAAGGCCCUUUCGGGGGUACACGAGCGGCGAACGGGUGAGUAACACGUGGGUGACCUGCCCUCAGCUCUGGGAUAAGCCUGGGAAACCGGGUCUAAUACUGGAUAUGACUCCAUGACGCAUGUUGUGGGGUGGAAAGCCUUGUGCGGCUGAGGAUGGGCCCGCGGCCUAUCAGCUUGUUGGUGGGGUGAGGCCUACCAAGGCGACGACGGGUAGCCGGCCUGAGAGGGCGACCGGCCACACUGGGACUGAGACACGGCCCAGACUCCUACGGGAGGGCAGCAGUGGGGAAUCUUGCGCAAUGGGCGAAAGCCUGACGCAGCGACGCCGCGUGAGGGAU